GGGCUUGUACCGGUUUCGACGGGGGUUUGGAAGUCAGAGUAGCCAUCCGCGGACCGUUCCCGCGUAUCAAAACGGAAUUAAAUAUAAACGCUAACGAUAAUUUAGCUAUCGCUGCUUAAUGCAGCUGUCUGCCUCAGGUUGCUCACAUCCUGAGUGUCAGGCAUCAUGAACUGUGAGGCACUUUUCCCCUUAAGCUUUGCGGGGGCAAAAGAUUUGAUGAAGCUACUGAGUUCGUAAGCCUGUCUUUCGGCGUACGAACGAGGGAAUGUCUGUAGAAAGACUGUGAUGGGAGAAGCUUUGAUGAAAGGGCUUUCGGACAGGGGUUCGACUCCCCUCAGGUCCAUAC
rnacentral:tmRNA from 1 species